UCCAAGUUACCGAACACUAACACUUUCAUGGUAUGAUUAAUACUAUUGUUUCCUUCUUGCUUUGGUACAGGUUAUUGUUGAUUUGUUUCUUUCUAUUGUUAUUUAUUUCACAUUUAUGUUCCUUGAUGUUAUUGUAGGUAAAGAAACUUCCCUUCGAACAUACUUGUGGGAGCAAAAAUUGCAGCAAAGGAAUGGCAAAUAGAGAUUGGCUUGCUGAAAAAGGGAAGGCUGCACUUGAAGAGAAUGCCACGGUGAGUGCAAAACAGCUUAGAGAACGUUUACAAAGGGAGUAUGAUAUUAAGCUUCAAUACACCGAUGUUUGGAAA
rnacentral:lncRNA from 1 species